GCCGGUGUGAUGGAAUGGCAGACGUGCUUGACUCAAAAUCAAGUGUCUUCGGACGUGCCGGUUCAAGUCCGGCCACCGGCACCA
rnacentral:tRNA from 1 species